GUCCACGCCGUAAACGAUGAAUGCCAGUCGUCGGGUAGCAUGCUAUUCGGUGACACACCUAACGGAUUAAGCAUUCCGCCUGGGGAGUACGGCCGCAAGGUUAAAACUCAAAGGAAUUGACGGGGCCCGCACAAGCGGUGGAGCAUGUGGUUUAAUUCGAAGCAACGCGCAGAACCUUACCAACCCUUGACAUGGAUAUCGCGGACCUGGAGACAGGUCUUUCAGUUCGGCUGGAUAUCACACAGGUGCUGCAUGGCUGUCGU
rnacentral:rRNA from 1 species